rnacentral:rRNA from 1 species
GAUGAACGCUGGCGGCGUGCCUAAUACAUGCAAGUCGAGCGAACAGAUGAGGAGCUUGCUCCUCUGACGUUAGCGGCGGACGGGUGAGUAACACGUGGAUAACCUACCUAUAAGACUGGGAUAACUUCGGGAAACCGGAGCUAAUACCGGAUAAUAUAUUGAACCGCAUGGUUCAAUAGUGAAAGACGGUUUUGCUGUCACUUAUAGAUGGAUCCGCGCCGCAUUAGCUAGUUGGUAAGGUAACGGCUUACCAAGGCAACGAUGCGUAGCCGACCUGAGAGGGUGAUCGGCCACACUGGAACUGAGACACGGUCCAGACUCCUACGGGAGGCAGCAGUAGGGAAUCUUCCGCAAUGGGCGAAAGCCUGACGGAGCAACGCCGCGUGAGUGAUGAAGGUCUUCGGAUCGUAAAACUCUGUUAUUAGGGAAGAACAAUUGUGUAAGUAACUAUGCACGUCUUGACGGUACCUAAUCAGAAGGCCACGGCUAACUACGUG